rnacentral:rRNA from 1 species
CAGUCGCCACGGUAAUACAGAGGGUGCGAGCGUUAAUCGGAUUUACUGGGCGUAAAGCGUGCGUAGGCGGCUUUUUAAGUCGGAUGUGAAAUCCCUGAGCUUAACUUAGGAAUUGCAUUCGAUACUGGGAAGAUAGAGUAUGGGAGAGGAUGGUAGAAUUCCAGGUGUAGCGGUGAAAUGCGUAGAGAUCUGGAGGAAUACCGAUGGCGAAGGCAGCCAUCUGGCCUAAUACUGACGCUGAGGUACGAAAGCAUGGGGAGCAAACAGGAUUAGAUACCCCUGUAGUCCCUGUCUCUUAUAA